AUCAUUAAUGCUUUGUCACUCCUUCAUUGACUCAUAAUUUCAUGGACCUUCUGCAGUACUCCCCCACCUGCCUGUCAGUUAGUUACUGUUUCCAUGCCCCCUGCUUCUCCACAAAAUCUUCAGAAAUCCAACUGUUCCACAAAAUCUUACAAGAAAAUCCAGCUGCUAUUAAAGGAGAGGAAGUGAGGAGCCAGAGCCCUGCAGCAGGGCUAGGAUCCUGUGGGUCUCACAGGACCCACUGCCAUAAUAAUGGGAGCAGGUCCCACUGGAGAAGCACUGAUAUUCCUGUUUUCUUCAUGAGGAGACACUCUCCGCUGGGCUGUUUCAGACCCAUCUGUCCAGUUUCCAAGAGUUGGAAUCAGACAGCUGGUCAUCACCAGGUCCUGCACUGACAGUGCCACUGAAGUCCCUGAUACACACUGGGAUGGUAGGGCACUCUGCCUCCAAGAGUCCCUGUGGUCUACUCUAUGCACUCUGAGCUCUGACAGAAAGUGAGUACAAGAUGCUUUAUCCACACACUUACCGUCUCUGUGGUCUCAGCUUGUAUACUAGGAAUUUCAAACUCGCAAUUAGGAGUGAGCAACUGGAAUCAGGAGCCUCGUGGGGGAAAAUGGGAAACUUAACAAGUCUAUGACGUUGUGUAAAUGAUGUUAUAAUAACCAAAUCCUGGCCCCUGUCUUAAUCCCAUGUGCAAUCGGGGUCAGUGCAGGAAACCCCCACAUGUUCUCACAGAGAUGAAUCCUACAACAGUGGAUCUGUACAGUUGCAGAUCUACUGGCCAAAUCCAUCCCUCCCUCUGCAAUGCUACAGGGAGAAACACCACAUUGUGACAUUGCACUUUAUAUGAUUUUAUAAAAAUAUGGUAAUGAGUGUGAAUAUAACGUAACUGGAAUAUGCUUCAUGCAAAAGGUUUCUUGUAAGGUAUCAUUACAAAGCUUAUAAUCUACUGAGUGUGGUCAUCCUAUUUGUAUAAAUGUAUCACUCUUGUAUCUGAAACUAGAAAUAUGAAACAUAACUCUGAGGUCCUAUUGUAGUUAUGCAAAGUGUGGGCCAUUAAUGGUGGUUUGGAAUUUUAAUGGCUCCCAUUAACCAGGACAAUUGACUGUAGAUGGCUAUGUUUUACCUGUAAGUCUUCCUGUAUACAUGUGUGCUGGCAAGUGGGUAAUGAAGUCUUACAGUGACAUGUGAUCAUGUCACUUGAACUUGCAUCUAUCUUUAACCUGGUGCUUUCCCAUUGAGAAGGAGGGGUGGGAACCCAGAGGGAUUAUGCAAAAGAUAUAGAAGUGGGUGGAACAGAACAAAGGGGGCGGCCAUCAUGAGAAAUACCCUAGCUACCACCUGCGCUGGAACAAGGGCUGUACCAGGGGAAAGGAUUGUGCCCAGACUAGGAAG
rnacentral:lncRNA from 1 species